AUGCAAUCUGGUUUCAGAGCUGGUCAUGGGUGCACCUCAGCCACGCUCAAGGUCCUAAACGACAUCAUAACCGCCAUCGAUAAGAAACAUUACUGUGCAGCCGUAUAUAUCGACCUGGCUUUCGACUCUGUCAAUCACCACAUUCUUAUUGGCAGACUCGACAGCCUUGGUUUCUCAAAUGAUUGCCUCGCCCGGUUUACCAAUUACUUCUCUGAUAGAGUUCAUUGUGUCAAAUCGGAGGGCCUGUUGUCCGGACCUCUGGCAGUCUCUAUGGGUGUGCCACAGGGUUCAAUUCUCAGGCCGACUCUCUUCUCUGUAUACAUCAAUGAUGUUGCUCUUGCUGCUGGUGAUUCUCUGAUCCACCUCUAUGCAGAUGACACCAUUCUGAAUACUUCUGGCCCCUCUUUGGACACUGUGAUAACUAACCUCCAGACGAGCUUCAAUGUCAUACAACUUUCCUUCCGUGGCCUCCAACUGCUCUUAAACGCAAGUAAAACUAAAUGCAUGCUCUUCAAACGAUCACUGCCUGCACCUGCUCGCCCGUCCAGCAUCACUACUCUGGACGGCUCUGACUUAGAAUACGUGGACAGCUACAAAUACCUGGGUGUCUGGUUAGACUGUAAACUCUCCUUCCAGACUCACUUUAAGCAUCUCCAAUCCAAAAUUAAAUCUAGAAUCGGCUUCCUAUAUCGCAACAAAGCAUCCUUCACUCGUGCUGCCAAACAUACCCUCGUAAAACUGACCAUCCUACCGAUCCUCGACUUCGGUGAUGUCAUCUAUAAAAUAGCCUCCAACACUCUACUCAACAAAUUGGAUGCAGUCUAUCACAGUGCCAUCCGUUUUGUCACCAAAGCCCCAUACACUACCCAUCAUUGCGACCUGUACGCUCUCGUUGGCUGGCCCUCGCUUCAUACUCGUCGCCAAACCCACUGGCUACAGGUUAUCUACAAGUCUCUGCUAGGUAAAGCCCCGCCUUAUCUCAGCUCACUGGUCACCAUAGCAGCACCCACCUGUAGCACGCGCUCCAGCAGGUAUAUCUCUCCAGUCACCCCCAAAGCCAAUUCCUCCUUUGGUCAUCUUUCCUUCCAGUUCUCUGCUGCCAAUGACUGGAACGAACUGCAAAAAUCACUGAAGCUGGAGACUCAUAUCUCCCUCACUAGCUUUAAGCACCAGCUGUCAGAGCAGCUCACAGAUCACUGCACCUGUAUAUAG
rnacentral:lncRNA from 8 species